AGCUUGAAGAAAAUUAUUUUAGGUAUACCCUGCCCGGUGAUUUUUUUUAACGGCCGCAGUACCCUGACUGUGCUAAGGUAGCAUAAUAAGUUGACUUUUAAAUGAAGUCUGGAAUGAAUGGGUUGACGGGGGGAUGCUAUCAUGGUAGAUUUAUCUUAAAUUACUUAAAAGGUGAAAAAACCUUUAUGUUAGAAAAUAGACGAGAAGACCCUAGGAAUUUUAAGAAAAAUUUUAACUACUUUGGAUAAUCUUUUUACUGGGGCGGUAUUGGAUCAAUAUUAGUAACAUCCUAAAUAAUCUAAUUUUAUUAGUAAUGGUAAAAUUACCCUAGGGAUAACAGCAUAAUUUUUCUUAAGAUUGUGACCUCGAUGUUGGACUAGGGAGCUUAAUUAUUAACCAUAAUUAAGGCGGGUUCUGUUCGAACUUUUUUCCCUACAU
rnacentral:rRNA from 1 species